GUGUGGAUCCGGAAAGGUGAUGUCUUUCCUUGUUCUUUGUCUUAAGUUUGUUUUGAUUGAUUAUGUAAUGCUUUGUUUAGUGCUUGUUGCAUAUUUUUUUAUUCAUUGUAUUACAUGAUGAUUUUCGUGUGUAAAAUUUAUUUUUAAAAUUGAUUUGAGGAAAGGUAAUUGGGAAUUUAAAAAUUUUUCUUUGAGAAAGGGAGAAAGGAGACGAUUGAAAAUCUUUAUUUUAGGGAGGUUAGAAUUUUUCAAAGUGCCUUAACCGAAAUUCAUCUUGAAUUAAAUUCAUAUUAAUUAUCGGUUUUACUCCAUUUUUUAUUAUUUUGACGAUAAUUGAUUAUACACUACAAUAGAAUUAGGUUAUAGGGAGACAUGUUUGGGACACUUUUGUAUAAGUGUCCAAUUUAUGCUAAAACUUUUAAAAAAAUCUACUAAUGCCUAACUAUAAAGCCCAAUCCAACCAAAAAUAAAAAGUUACUCUAUUCAACACACUUCACCGAGCCCAUUCGGCCCGAUUACAAACAGAAAAGAAAAAAAAAAGAAAAAAGAAAAAUCGAUUACCAUCUCUUUUUCUCCCCUCACUCAAUCCACUGAAAUUCUAGACGAAGAGCCCUUCCGUCUCGUCCUCCUCCACCACCGCAGCAAACGAGGUAGAGUUCCGGCGGUUGCUAAAUGUUUAAAUAAGUGUUGGUAAUUUAGCAGCACUUUUUUUAGGUUAUAGCGACACUCUUUAACUAUCACUAUAUACCUAGCGACCCCACAUAUAGCAACACUUUUUAAAAGUAUCGGUAAUUUAGCCAGCAGCACUUUUUUUGACUUAUAUCGAUAUUUAAAAGUGUCGCUAUAGAUCGUUUUUGUUGUAGUGAUAUGAAUUCUUAAUACAUAUAUUCAUCAAAAUUUUGAAAUCAAUUUUGAUCUUUUGGUGAUUAAUUCAUCUUGGUUGUAUGUGUUGAAUAUGAUGGAUGGAUAUUCACUAAUCGACUAAAAUUUUAUCAAAAUUACUUUCAAUUGUGAGAUUGUCUAAUUUAGAGAGAGUUUGAAUUAUUUUUUUUAAAAAAAAGAAAAAGAUACUAUGUUUAAAAGAUUUGAAAAGAGUUACAUCCUAAAAGGAGUGUGAAAACUACCACCACAUGUAGGAAAGAGCUACCACCCCGGUCGCCCAGUAAGUAUGUGAAGCUACCACAUGGAAUUUAAUUGAAAAGCUGAAAAGGUUGAAAAAAAUAAAUAUUUUAGAAUUUUCGGAGUUAUAAGGUGAUAGGAUGAAAAGAUGCUCAAAGAGCCACCCCCGGUGUCAUAUUAGUUAAAUCUCUAUUUUGAACGAUUUGCGACAAAUUGAGGUCAAUUUUGUUGAAUUUCUAAAAAUCAUUUUUCAUCAGCUUACAUCUUGAUGGUUUUGAAUAUUUAGAUUAUUUUUUAUUUCCUAAUUUUAAUGUUUCGAUGUAUUUUGAAAUCUUAUAAUAAUUAAUUUUCAUCAUAAUGAUUUUUGGAGUACAAUCUUUAAUUUUUAUGAAAUUAAUUUGAUUUUGAGGGAUUUUUGAUGAAAAUAUUCAAAAUUUUUGAAAUCUGGCAAAGUGUACCGGUACAAAAUACCGUGUACCGGUACAAAUCACUAUGCCGUGUCUUUUAUAACCGGUUACAGAUUUUUGUUUCUCUCUCAAACCUUUACCAAACUUCUCUCUUUCGGUCUCAAAAUCUCCGUGGUGACCUUCUCCUUUA
rnacentral:lncRNA from 1 species